rnacentral:tRNA from 1 species
CAGAGCUUAGCUAAACAUAGCUUAUAGCGUCUCCCUUACACUGAGAAGUCGCUCGUGCAAAUCGAGCAGCCCUGAC